GCUGUUGUAGUUUAAUGGUUAGAGCAUUGUGCGUAUAGCCAAGAGUCCCGGGUUCGGUUCCCGGCGAGAGUG
rnacentral:tRNA from 1 species